GACCCUAUAAGGCAGUGAAGCUCUGUGAACAGCAAAGAUAGAGUUUUGAAAGAUUUCUUGUUCUUGGCGACAUGGGGAUUUCACAAACAGGAAAAACUGCUUUUACUUUUCCUAAAGAGGAACCAUUUAUGCCUCAUGAUGCAUUGAUGCCUGGAACUGGGCUCGCUUUAAAGUAGAGCGGAAAUGUAAGAAAUGCUCUUAGCAGAGGACAAGCAGAGUUUUAACCUUACUGGUGUGAAUCCUGAGGAAACACGCAGCGUGGGUGUGAGAUGAGGGGAAACCCUAUCGUUACAACUGCCAAAAGCAAAACAAGACCUAUGAUGUUUCCUAGCGCUUUGUGUAUCAACUCAAGCAGAAGGCAGAAAGAUGUCACAGUGGAGGAGGAUCAACACAACACAUUACUGCUGUGUCAUUACUCAACUCCUAGAGAACACAAUGGAAAACUUCUGAUUAAUGACUUGGAGAGUUGGAGGAAUUGUUGUGAUCUUAUGAAAGAUCAACGAAGACUGUCAGUCUCUGUCACACUCAGUAUGAACUAGGGCAGACCACAUCACUGAUGUGCUUUUUCUAUCUAAAAGAAUAUGUGAUCUGAAGAAAACCAAGAUAAUAAAUCCCCAGAGAAAUACCAGGUCUUCUCCCAGAAGAAUGCUUAAAAUUCUGAAAUACUUGAAUAUUAUCUAGGCCCUGAGUGGGCUGGAAAUAAUGGCAUUUUUGAGGCCCUAGGCUGUUACUUAUCUGUACAGACUCCUCCAAGGAGGAGAUUUUGACAGCUGACUCUUUUACCCCUUAAAAUCUCAUCCUUCAGUUGGGUAGGAAAGAUAACUCUUGUCUGUAGCUCUCAAGGGAUCCAUGAAUGGGUUUGUUUUCACACAUGGCCAGGCCUUUAAAGAUAGCUUAGCAAAUGGACUAUUUGAUACAACAAUCCUUUCUCAGCAGCUGGCAAAGGAGAGGUCUGUGGUAGAGGUCAGAUCUUGGUGCAGCACAUCCACAGCAGGGAUUUCUGAAGAUACUGUAGCUGGAGCAUCCUGCAGCAUAGACAUUUCAGAUGUCUCAUUCUAAGGGAAGAGGACAGGAAGAAGUAGGUCAGAAAGUAAAGCUUGGAGGCUGGUGCCUGUCACAAGGAUCCAUUGUCUUUCAACAUCGCAUCAAUAGUGUUUUGUUUUAGCUAUUGCUACUAGCAAUAGAGAAGGACAAGAGAAGUGGUGUGAGGUGAGAAAGAAGUGUCUGCCAUGCUGAAGAUUUUCUUUUGCUUUGUCUCACCCAUUCAGACUGCUUACAGACUGCUUGACAUAUAGUUAGUGACUUUCUAUGUACACAGGCAAUGUCCAGCACACCCUGAGUGCAAAUAUGAUUACUUUGGAUCCAAUUGUUUCACUAGCAAGGGACUUCCUUUGCAUCAUGGCUACUGUCCUAAGCACUAUGAUGAAAACAUCAGUUCCUUGAAUGCUAAACUGUAAUUCCUUCAAUGUAGCAAGAAAAUAGCUAGACUUUUAUCAUCUGCAUUCUUUUAUCUCUAUGAAAAAGAAUGACUAAAUCCUCCAAAGUGUAACCUCAGUCUUAUGAAGGAAUAGAAGCUUCAACAGAAAAAGAACACAACUUUCCCUAUCAUAAGAAGAGGAGACAAGGAAGUUUCCAUAGGGCAACUUUGAAUCAGUGGGAAACCUCUUAACAAUCCUGAAUUCAAACCAGGCACCAUGCACACCCCCUAUGAUUUGUUAAAAUCACAAGUAAAUCCUUUUGUUAUUCUGGAGCUCUUCUGUCAGUAUCAUUUUCUGUUGGGGGAGGAAAAAAAAAAAAAGAAAGUGGAACACUGUCAUGAAAAACUCUGAGUAAAAAUGAGUCAGAAAAGGAAAAAGGCAACUAUGUAAAAUAGACCCUUAGGAAGCCAGUGACUUUUUUCCUUAAAAAUUUCCUUAAAAAUUAAUCAUUACAUUUCUUGAGAAUGUUUAAAUUUCUUCCUGUAGAUGCAAGUU